rnacentral:rRNA from 1 species
UUUAAACUUUUGUUUUUAUACUUAUAAUCUUUUAUAGUUUAUUUUUUUUUCUUUCUGUGAUGAUUUGUUUUUAUUAGGUUUUUACCUUUUGUAUAAGGUCUUCUAGAAAUGCUUUUGUUUAAUCUUUUUAGAAACGGGGAGAUUUUUAAAAUUGUUUUUAUUUUAAUAUUAAGUAAAACUUUUUUAAUGUGGUGAUACGUGUACGUUCCUCAUGGUAUCUAGUUUGUUCUAUAUUUUUGGGGGUAACCCCCAUACCUUUGGCUUUUAUUGUUUAGUUACUUUUGUUUUAAUAGUAAACUUUUGUGUAAUAACUUUUUUUUAUUUUUAGCUUACUUUUAUAAUUUAUUGAUAAAUUUUACUUUAAUUAGUGUAUUAGUAGGUUUUCUUUAUUUUUAUUAUUUUGUUUUUAUUUGUUUUUUAAAAAUUAUGUAUUUUACUUUUUACUUUUAAACUUGUUUAUUAAAAUCUUAGCUGGAUUAUUUCUAGUUACUUCUGCCCCAUGCUUUUUGUAAAUGGCUGUGGUUUCCACACUAAGGUAGCGAGAUCAUUAGUUAUUUGAUUGGUAACUUGUAUGAAAGGAGCUUUUUAAAAGUUAUUAUAAUUUUUUCUGAAAUUAUAUUUUUGUUGAAAAUAACAAUCUCCGCCCUAAGACAAAAAGACCCUAGAAUUUUUAUAAUUUAAAUUAUUUGGUUGGGGAAAUAUUUAAUUUUAUAAAUAUUAAAAAAUUUAUUUAUUUAUGAACUUUUUUUAAAGAAAGUUAGCUAAAAUACUCUAGGGAUAACAGCUUAAUGGUUUUUGUUAGUUCUUAUUACUAAAACUGUUUGGGACCUCGAUGUUGGAUUAGGUUUACUUUGGGGUGUAGAAGCUUUUUAAAGUUAGACUGUUCGUCUAUUGAAUACCUACAUGAUCUGAGUUAAAGUCGGUGUGAGCCAGACUGGAUUUUAUCUAGGGUUAUAAUUAUUUAUAUUUCAGUACGAAAGGACCUUUUAUUGGGUAGCUUACCUUUAUUUCUUUCUCUCU